GUUUGUCCUGGAGGAGAGAGGAUUUCAAACAGACUUCCAAAAGUUUUCAACUGUAAGGUCUGAGGUACAUGGAAUUCUUUUCCAAGGGGACAUGUGGCAUCUCCUUAAAAAACUCUGAUAGAAUUGGAUCAACAUUCUGAGUGAGAUGAUAGCCUGCUGAUGCAAUAAACUAAACUAAAUACGGGACAAGUGCAACACCUCUCGUAGCUUCAGGGUUGGGAGUGAACUAGAGAAGGCAAACACCUGCCCUUUCAGGAGCUCCAGCAGUGCUAAA